UCCACGUGUCGCCGUGAUGACGUCAGCGGAAGUGGUGCUUCCGUGGGUACGGACUGUAACUCCACGAGCGGGUCGCCUCGCUUCAGUUGCUUCUGUAGCCGCAGCAGUGAAGAGGUAAAGGAGACUUAAUUUCUCCUUGACAAACUGGUCUUAGCAGUGAGGUCUCUGACUAGGUGAAGAGAGUGCGGUGUAGCUAUUGGAGCCAUAUUAACUCCUGGCAGACACCGCUCCUCCCCCUACUCCUUUUGCACUGUGGGUAAUUGGGGUGUGUAGAAACAUGCGCGCUCUCUGGAUGCCAUCUUUAUUAUUGGCAGAGAGAUCCGUUGCCAGGGUUACCCGAGACUUUAAUUGUGAGACAGAAGGCUUGGUAAACCCUCUCUGACAGCAGCUGGAUUCCAAGUAAUUUGUAAUCAUGUGUUUAAAUAUUUAUUUGACUGUUAUGUAUCUCAUAAUACUGAUCGGUCGUAAUCCCUAUGAAGCCCCGUCUGCUUACCUGCCGGCUCCCCCGUUUGGAAACCUCCACUUCUGAGCUGUAAAAACCUUUAUCUCCCUCAUGUCCAAUGAUGACCGCUUGAUUUUAGGAAGAGACCGCCAAUGUACACGAAUAAAAAAGGCUUGCUUUGAUUAA